rnacentral:rRNA from 1 species
UGGCGGACGGGUGAGUAACGCGUGGGUAACCUGCCUCAUACAGGGGGAUAACAGUUGGAAACGGCUGCUAAUACCGCAUAAGCGCACAGUACCGCAUGGUACGGUGUGAAAAACUCCGGUGGUAUGAGAUGGACCCGCGUCUGAUUAGCUAGUUGGUGGGGUAACGGCCUACCAAGGCGACGAUCAGUAGCCGACCUGAGAGGGUGAACGGCCACAUUGGGACUGAGACACGGCCCAA